UAUCCAUGAAUUGCAUUUACAUGUUGGGUUGACUGAGCUAUCCCAGUUGGCUUCAAGCUUUACACAUAGCGGAUGCUCUACUAAAACUACCCACGAGCGCAGUGCAAUGUUUCAUUAUGUUUGACGAAGCAGAGGGAGAAGAGGGAUCGGCGCGCCGUCUGACGCCGCCCUCCGCCGUCUACAGGCUAUAGGCAAGCAGCAGAGCAGCACCAGGUCCUUGCCUGCCGCUCCUUGGCGACGACCUGCUAGGCGACCUGUUACGAAUCCGAGGGCACGGUGGCAACGGCGGCCGACAGCGGCGCUGCGCCCUCUUCUUCGGCUGAACAGAGCAGGGCGCGGCCGCAGCACGUGGAAUGUCCUGAUUACGUGGUAAUUCUGUUCUUCAUGUUCCAUUUGUUUUGCAACAAGAGAAAUACCUAAACAUGGAGAUUGCAAUGUCAGAGAACUAUGGCAUCAUCACACAGAGCAUGUGUUAGAGGAGACUGAUCCAAACCCUUUGGCCCAGGAUACGGCCACGUACCACUUGUUCCCGCCGUAUACAUCACCUUUUAUUUUAUUUUAUUUCCUUUCUCGCUGUCCCUUGGCUUGUGUAGUUGUGUGUUCCUGCCAACGCUGCAAUAAAAUCUUAGCAGUUUUUCUGCCAACUUAAAAAUAACUUUUGUAACCUAUUUUUCGAGGAAGCUUUCCAGUAGAGAAUAAGGGUUUUCGGCCGAGAGAGAGAGAAUAAGGGUUUUGGAUCAGGCCAGCCUGUUUUUUGCUCGAUCGAUUCAUCUUUCUGUAAUAUAAUAAAAGUAUAUGUUGGAUAAA